AAUGAACGUUGGCGGCGUGGAUUAGGCAUGCAAGUCGAGCGUACCCAGCGAUGGGGAAGCGGCAAACGGGGUAGUAAGGCGUCGGUACGUGCCCUCGGGACGAGGAUAGCCACGGGAAACUGUGGGUAAUACUCGAUGACAUCGUGAGAUCAAAGGUGUGAUUCCGCCCGGGGAGCGGCUGACGUGGUAUUAGGUAGUUGGUGGGGUAAUGGCCCACCAAGCCUGGGAUGCCUAGGGGGUGUGAGAGCAUGGCCCCCACCAUUGGGACUGAGAUACUGCCCAGACACCUACGGGUGGCUGCAGUCGAGAAUCUUCGGCAAUGGGCGCAAGCCUGACCGAGCGACGCCGCGUGCGGGAUGAAGGCCUUGGUUGUAACGCUGUCAGGGGGAUGAAAUCAUGGUGGGUUCUCCCAUCAUGUUGACAGAGCCCCAGAGGAAGCGCGGGCUAAGUUCGUG
rnacentral:rRNA from 1 species